AGAGUUUGAUCCUGGCUCAGGAUGAACGCUGGCGGCGUGCCUAAUACAUGCAAGUCGAACGAACUUCCGUUAAUUGAUCAGGACGUGCUUGCACUGAAUGAGAUUUUAAUAUGAAGUGAGUGGCGGACGGGUGAGUAACACGUGGGUAACCUGCCCAGAAGCAGGGGAUAACACCUGGAAACAGAUGCUAAUACCGUAUAACAGAGAAAACCGCCUGGUUUUCUUUUAAAAGAUGGCUCUGCUAUCACUUCUGGAUGGACCCGCGGCGCAUUAGCUAGUUGGUGAGGUAACGGCUCACCUAGGCGAUGAUGCGUAGCCGACCUGAGAGGGUAAUCGGCCACAUUGGGACUGAGACACGGCCCAGACUCCUACGGGAGGCAGCAGUAGGGAAUCUUCCACAAUGGACGCAAGUCUGAUGGAGCAACGCCGCGUGAGUGAAGAAGGGUUUCGGUUCGUAAAGCUCUGUUGUUAAAGAAGAACGUGGGUGAGAGUAACUGUUCACCCAGUGACGGUAUUUAACCAGAAAGCCA
rnacentral:rRNA from 1 species